rnacentral:lncRNA from 10 species
GCUGGGUGCAGUGGCGGGUGCCUGUAGUCCCAGCUACUUGGGAGGCUGAGGCAGGAGAAUGGCGUGAACACGGAAGGCGGAGCUUGCAGUGAGCCGAGAUCCCGCCACUGCACUCCAACCAGGGCAACAGAGCAAGACAGUGUCUGUAAAAAAAAAUUAACUAAUUAAUAAUAAUUUUUUUUUUCGCUCUGUCGCCCAGGCUGGAGUGUAGUGGCACCAUCAUAGCUCACUGCAACCUCCGCCUCCCGGGUUCAAGCGAUUCUCCUGC